UACGUAGGGUGCGAGCGUUGUCCGGAAUUAUUGGGCGUAAAGAGCUCGUAGGCGGUGUGUCACGUCGUUCGUGAAAACCUGCAGCUUAACUGUGGGCGUGCGGUCGAUACGGGCAUCACUGGAGUUCGGCAGGGGAGACUGGAAUUCCUGGUGUAGCGGUGAAAUGCGCAGAUAUCAGGAAGAACACCUAUGGCGAAGGCAGCACUCUGGGACGGUACUGACGCUGAGGAGCGAAAGCGUGGGGAGCGAACAGG
rnacentral:rRNA from 1 species